CUCACUUCUUACUCUCUCCAUAAUCAUGAAGGAACUUGGGCACUCACCUUCUCCUCUCUAAUACUUUCGCCCUUUUUCUUGUCUCUGUUUUUCUUUUUUUUUUUAUUCAGCUCCAAAUCAGAGAAGGAAACUUAUUUAUUUUGAAUUUUUUAAGGAAAGGAAAAAGAACCAGGCCAGUAAUGGAGAAAAAGCAAGGUUUUCUCUCAGCUCUCAAAGAAGAUAUAGUUCGCGGGCUUUCACCUUCCCGCUCGCGGUCCAACAGCCCUGCAAGACCCCUUUCACUCAUGUCCACUACGUUACGUGGAAACAAAGACAACCACCAUGGCGGUGCUCACGUGGUGAAACCGGAACCGUUGAUGGCGAGAUCCGGGACUGUAAGGCCAGUCGGUGAAGCGUUAUCUCCUCUCAUGGAAGGUCCGGAGCCGGACCGAGGGAAAUCCGGGGAUCCGAAGUGGGUUGGGUCGGUGAUAGGACAAUGGGUUAAAGGACAGUUUUGUACUUCCACGAACCACAGAAGGUCUAAUCUAAGGCUGUUGCUUGGAAUCAUGGGCGCCCCUUUAGCUCCAAUUCAUGUUAGCUCCAAUGAUCCUUUGCCUCACUUGAGCAUCAAAGAUACUUCCAUUGAAACUUCCUCUGCUCACUACAUAUUGCAGCAGUAUAUAGCUGCCACUGGGGUUCAAAAGUUACAAAGCUCCAUUAAGAAUGCGUAUGCAAUGGGAAAGCUCAAAAUGAUAGCUUGUGAAUACGAAACCGCCACGAGAAUUGUUAAGAGCUGUAAUGUCUCUAGAGGUGCCGAGUCCGGUUGGUUUGUACUCUGGCAAAUGAAUCCGGACAUGUGGUAUGUCGAACUUGCGGUCAGUGGCUGCAAGGUUCAUGCUGGUUGUAAUGGGAACCUUGUAUGGAGGUAUACACCUUGGCUUGGUGCACACACCGCAAAGGGGCCGGUUAGACCCUUGCGUCGUGCACUUCAGGGUCUUGACCCUAGAACUACAGCUAUCAUGUUUGCUAAUGCAAGAUGCAUAGGAGAAAAAAAUAUUAAUGGUGAAGAUUGCUUCAUCCUCAAGCUAUGUGCCGGUCCUCGGACACUCAAGGCAAGAAGUGAAGGCCCUGCAGAGAUCAUAAGGCAUGUUUUAUUUGGCUACUUCAGUCAGAAGACUGGACUACUUGUUCAAAUGGAAGAUUCACAUUUAACUCGCGUUCAAUCUACUGGCGGUGAUACGGUUUAUUGGGAAACUACAAUCAAUACAUUUCUCGAAGAUUACCAUCCUGUCGAAGGUAUCGUGAUAGCACAUUCUGGACAUACCGUCGUUACACUUUUCAGGUUUGGAGAAGUUGCAAUGAACCAUACGAAAACAAAGAUGGAAGAAACUUGGACGAUCGAAGAGGUUGCCUUUAACAUACCAGGCCUUUCUGUUGAUUGUUUUAUCCCCCCAAGUGAUUUAUCCAUCACUGAAACCUGUGAAUUCCCUCAGGAUGAAAGGGGAGAGAACGCAAUCCACCUUUAGAAGAAGCGCAGAAUGGCGGCACUGACAUCAUGAUUCGGAGAACGGAUGUAUGAUAAACCAUAGAUAGAAUCAUCACAUGUUGGCAAUGGUUCAUAUUGGUAGCUACUGCAUUUGAGUAAAACCCCUCAGAAGUUACAAGCUUUGAAUAUUCAAGAGUUUUCUACCUUAGUGGAGAGAGCUUUGAAAGUAGAGCAAGUUAAGCAAGAAGAGCAGAAAAGAAAGAAUUGGAGCCAGAUUAAGCGAGGUCAGGGACAGACUAGUUAUGCAUCAUUUCCAGCUACCAAAAGGCUAGGGAUUCUCAGGGUCAAUCAUAUUCUACACCAAUUCACACUCAAAGGCAUGGUCAGAGGCUGAGUCAGGGUUGAGUAGCUAGGUCCGUACAGCAGGUGACAUCUGUGGCCAGUACAGGAAGGUUAGUGAGAAGAUCAUCUCAGUUGAUUUGUGAGCACUGCAACAAUAGCCACUCUGGGGAGUGUUGGAGAGUUACAGGAGCAUGCUUUGGGUGUGGCUCCAAAGAUCACCUCUUCAAAGAUUGUGCUAAGAAGAUAGCCAGUAACCCUACACAAACAGAGAGAUCUGCCCCCACUUCUCAAAGAAAUAGAAAGUUUAUUAGGAAUGGCAAUGCUGGGAGUAGUCAGAGAGCUAAGAAAGAGAUUCCGAUUAAAUCAAAUACUCUGGUACCAGAACGAUGCUAUUGUAUUAAGCCACAAGAGGAGCAGGAUGUACCUGACGUUAUUAUUGGU